CAGCAUGUCGGGGCCGACGAGAUGGACGUGCGUGUCCACGGUGCCGGCGGUCAGGAUCAGUCCGUUGCCGGACAUCACUUCGGUGGACGGACCGAUGACAAGAUCCGGAUGGAUCCCAUCCAUGGUGUCGGGGUUGCCUGCCUUGCCCAGGGCCACGAUCCGCCCGUCGCGGACGCCGACGUCGGCCUUAAUAACACCCCAGUGGUCCAGAACCACCGCCCCGGUGAUGACCAGAUCCGGAGUGCCUUCGGCCCGGGUAGCCGACGACUGACCCAUGGACUCG
rnacentral:sRNA from 1 species